rnacentral:rRNA from 1 species
CAGCAGCCGCGGUAAUACGGAGGGAGCUAGCGUUGUUCGGAAUUACUGGGCGUAAAGCGCGCGUAGGCGGUUACUCAAGUCAGAGGUGAAAGCCCGGGGCUUAACCCCGGAACUGCCUUUGAAACUAGGUGACUAGAAUCUUGGAGAGGUCAGUGGAAUUCCGAGUGUAGAGGUGAAAUUCGUAGAUAUUCGGAAGAACACCAGUGGCGAAGGCGACUGACUGGACAAGUAUUGACGCUGAGGUGCGAAAGCGUGGGGAGCAAACAGGAUUAGAUACCCCUGUAGUCCCUGUCUCUUAUAC